rnacentral:lncRNA from 10 species
GACAGGAGAUAAUUGAGAUCAUAAGGGUUGAGGCCUAAUCUCAUAGGAUCGCUGUCCUUAUAAGAAGUGGAAGAAACAUCAGAGAGCUCUCCCUCUCCACACACACAGAGGAAAGGCCACAUGGGGACAAGAGAGGGCAACUGUCUACAAAUCUGGAAGAGAGACUUCAGAAGAAACCAGCACUGAUGGCAUCUGAUCUUGGACUUCCAGCCUCUGGAUCUAUCUGCCAGAGCCUGAUCUCAUACACACUGAUGUGGUACAGGAAAUGCCACCUGAAAAUAUGGUACCUUGGCAUUUGAGGAAACAGUAGAAGGAGGUCAUAGAAACUAGAAAGAAUUCCUCCUUGCUCUUUGUCCCCCAAAGGAGCCAUAAAACCUGGGCCGAGUUUCUUCUGAAAAUAAGUUAUAAGAUCCUUAUUCCAGAGGGGUCCUGCCCUGUGCCUGGAGGAAAAGAAUGAAGACACAGAGAUGCCUUGAAGAAUCUGAACAAACAGCCCUUGCUAAGUUCCCC